AGUGAACGCUGGCGGUAGGCCUAACACAUGCAAGUCGAACGGUAGCACAGUAAGAGCUUGCUCUUACGGGUGGCGAGUGGCGGACGGGUGAGGAAUACAUCGGAAUCUACUUUUUCGUGGGGGAUAACGUAGGGAAACUUACGCUAAUACCGCAUACGACCUACGGGUGAAAGCAGGGGAUCUUCGGACCUUGCGCGAUUGAAGGAGCCGAUGUCGGAUUAGCUAGUUGGCGGGGUAAAGGCCCACCAAGGCGACGAUCCGUAGCUGGUCUGAGAGGAUGAUCAGCCACACUGGAACUGGGACACGGUCCAGACUCCUACGAGAGGCAGCAGUGGGGAAUAUUAGACAAUGGGCGCAAGCCUGAUCCAGCCAUACCGCGUGGGUGAAGGAGGCCUUCGGGUUGUAAAGCCCUUUUGUUGGGAAAGAAAAGCAGCAGGUUAAUACCCCGCUGUUCUGACGGUACCCAAAGAAUAAGCACCGGCUAACUUCGUG
rnacentral:rRNA from 1 species